AAAGGAAUUGACGGGGGCCCGCACAAGCAGUGGAGUAUGUGGUUUAAUUCGACGCAACGCGAAGAACCUUACCAGGUCUUGACAUCCUACCAACGAAGCAGAAAUGCAUCAGGUGCCUUUCGGGGAGGGUAGAGACAGGUGGUGCAUGGUUGUCGUCAGCUCGUGUCGUGAGAUGUUGGGUUAAGUCCCGCAACGAGCGCAACCCUUACGGUUAGUUGCUACGCAAGAGCACUCUAGCCGGACUGCCGUUGACAAAACGGAGGAAGGUGGGGAUGACGUCAAAUCAUCAUGCCCCUUAUGAUCUGGGCUACACACGUACUACAAUGGCGCAAACAGAGGGAGGCAAAGCAGCGAUGUGGAGCAAACCCCUAAAAGGCGCCUCAGUUCAGAUUGCAGGCUGCAACUCGCCUGCAUGAAGUCGGAAUUGCUAGUAAUCGCGGAUCAGCAUGCCGCGGUGAAUACGUUCCCGGGCCUUGUACACACCGCCCGU
rnacentral:rRNA from 1 species